AGCUACUGUUUGGGAUAAUGCAUCUUGGAACUCUCUCGCUGUUUGUUCAGUUUCUUAGUUACAGUUGAAUGAUCUCUAACCAAUGUAUCCGACAACUCAAGAGCUGUGGCAAAAUCUGAGUAUAUCGCAUUAAUUCAACUUUCGGAGUUUGAGAUUUCAAAUGGUCAAGAUGGACGUCUCCAAAAAGAGCCUGUUCAUUAUGGGGUCACAUCAAUUGCCUUCUAGGUGUCCAGUGUAAAUCUUUGCCAUCAUGGUUUUUGGAGGCAUCCCAGGAUUAGAAAAAGUGGUUUUUGAUUACUUCAUACACUCAGUAUUUCUUACCAACAAUAACGAUGAGCGCUCAAGGCUUCUGAUGAUGUUUGAGUUUACUGAAAAGCAUAAGUCGCUGCAAUACUACGCUAAUAUAAUCAACGUUCCCUUGUGCACGAUGAUAGUGAUCAUAAACUUGUACAGCUUGAUAAGCUUUCGCUAUGUGAAGGAAUUACAGAGUCGAGACUUUGUUCUUCUGUUUCUUCAAAAUCUGAUCGAGACUUUGGCUUGCUUGGCAUCAAUUGCCACAUCAAUCAUUGAAAAUCUAAUCUGGUUGAGCAAAAGCUGUAACAGUGAUUAUUAUGACCAACCGAACAGGAUAGCAUUUCUCACAAGCCAAUAACAUGACCGAUUCAACUGACUUGGUUUUUGUGACUGACAACAAUUCGCAAUUGAUACCAGCCGUUCGCCUGAUAUCGCAGUUAGCCAAAACUAAUCAAAAUUGCAGCUAUUUAAGGAAAAACAGCCAAUUUAUAUAACCCAGAGUCAAGUCUUCAAACACUAAAAACUUUCAUAGGAAUAAACAAGAAUGGAU